UACGUAGGGUGCAAGCGUUGUCCGGAAUUAUUGGGCGUAAAGAGCUCGUAGGCGGUUUGUCGCGUCUGCUGUGAAAACUCGGGGCUUAACUCCGGGCCUGCAGUGGGUACGGGCAGACUAGAGUGCGGUAGGGGAGACUGGAAUUCCUGGUGUAGCGGUGAAAUGCGCAGAUAUCAGGAGGAACACCAAUAGCGAAGGCAGCUCGCUGGGACGUUACUGACACUGAGGCGCGAAAGCGUGGGGAGCGAACAGG
rnacentral:rRNA from 1 species